UUAAUUGACUUUUUUAUUACAUGAAAGCCUGGUAAGAAGAAAGGGUUAAAGCUGAGUUAUCAAAAUAGGUUUUCUUUAAUUUCUAAUUCCUUCUUCUGCCCCUGGUACUAGGUUGAUGUGUUAACUGGAGAGACUCACUUUCAAAAUCUCUGUGUUAUUGGGUGGAGAAAUGCUGAGGGCCACCCCUGGUUACGUCAGGUGGUGUCAAAUUUGGCUUGCAAUUCUCACUUCCUGUUGACUCCAAGAGAAAGGCUGCAGUUGGCGUCUGACACUGAAAAACACGAAGCUCUGAGACCAGUCUGAAUUACUAAUCACUACAUGUCCUGUUCAGUCUAACCACUCUCCAAGCGAUUAAAUGAGCCGGCCAGGUCGGUGACUCAGCUUCCGAGGGGGCAGCCAGCAGUCCGAGCUGAUCUGAACAUCCCUGGUCUCACUUCCCAAGGUUUGAUCCAGAGCUGCCUCGGAAGGGUGAUUUCCCUCAGAGCUGUCUCUCUGAGGACAGAAAGAUGGCACCGGGAGCGAAGGUGAACUUGAUGAACACAUCCAGAGCCACAACCUGGCUUCCCUGAAGGUGGCUCUUCCAGAGCUCUCUGGAAAGAUCACGUGAGCAUGUGCACACCAGAGCGCAAAUGAGCUGAUCAGUUCUUUCCUGGGACACCCCAGGGCUGCUGCUUUAAGCGCGCAGAUGCGCUGGGGGCCUUGCAGAGAGCAUCUGUUUGUUCUAUUUAUGUGGGGAAGAAAGCGUGUUUUUGUGAGCUCAGCAGGAGUACAACUUUCUUUUUAGGAUCUUUUAUUUUAUUAGAGUUUUUUAAAUUGCACAUUCUGGAGCAAAAGAAUCUGAGUUGUUGGUGAUUCUAGAUCCCGAGUGAGUCCCUCUCCUGUUCAUUUACCUGCUUCCCCCGCCUCCGAAUUUCACAGAGUUAAAGUCAGCAAGGCACUUGCGCAAGCCCACAGAACGCGCAUUCUUGGUUUCGGUCAUCAUUAUUGGCUAAGUUAUUAACCAGGUAUUUAUUGAAGGCCUAUUAUAUUCCAGGUACUGUAACAUCCUAGGACCCAGAGUGAGUCACCUUCGUGGAUCGUCUCUGUCCGCCCCUACCGGAGGGACCACUGCAAUGCAGACGGGACAGGGCAGAUAAUUUGGCUCCUGUUGUCACCACGAGCUUCAGGGAGCAAAUAUACGCUGAAUACUUUCCUAGAUGAGACCAUGGGAGGCUGUUGUUAUUGCUGAAGGCACCUGAGUUCCAUGGCAGUACAUGGUUUAACUUUACAUUUGAGUGUUUGACUGUGUGAGAGAGACGUCGAGGGAUCCAGGAGUUUUCUUCAAUAUCUGAUGGAAUGCUUCAGCCUAGUGGAGUCAGAGAGACGUGGGUUCGAAUCCUGACUCUGCCAAAUAUUAGCUGUGAGAACUUGGGCAAACUAUCGUUCUUCAGGUCUUCGUUUCUUCAUCUUUAAAGAGGAGAUAGCAGCACCUGCUUCAAGGUGGUGCCGUUAGGAUUAAACCCUCUACGCAGGCAGUGCUUGGCACGUAAAAAGUGCUCCAACACUGGGAGCCGCGACUGUUCUCUGCGACCUGCUUUCUCUAGCAGGAGGCACUGAUUGAUUAUUUGUGGCAUAAAUCCACGUCCUGGGCUGGGCUGUUAUGUCCUGAGUGUCCUAUUUGAAAAUAAAGAGGAAUUUUUUUUCCUCUAAAUCUCAUGAUCUUGCUUCCGCAAAACAAGAAAUCUGUUUCCACAAAAGACGGGUAGGAACUGAAGACACUGGAAGUUUGCGGGCGGGAGAAAGCAGCUUCAAGAAGAAAAGAAUGCCGGUGAUCAGCGACACUCUCUUGAGAGGGCCCAGAUGCCGGCCAGAUGCUGCAAAUCCGGAGAGACACGUGAGGCUCAGCGACAGUUAUGCCACAUGUAGGAUCCUGACUGGUCGCCCUCAGAUGAUUGGAGACUUAGAUCCGGAAGCAAGAUAGAUGGAGAUCAAUGGAUUGUGUCAGCUCCUUUACUGAGAAAGUAAAUUGGACAUGUGACUUCUAUUCCUCAGCCGAGGGCGUUUGCUAAUGCCUCCACCCUGAAGGCACAGACUUUACAUCCACUUCCCCUUCAGUCUCUCAUGCAACAACAAAAAAACCAUGCAGGUGUUCCCCAGGUGGUGGCCCCUUAUAUUUGCUAAGAAGAUAAUUAGGAAGAGAGGAGAUAGGAAAGGACUGAGAGACACAUGCUUGUUCUUGUCCCAGAGCAGCCAAUUACCAUUGGCUACUGAACUUCCAUAGCCCGUUUCUUUAUCUGUGAAACAGAAUCCUACUACCUUGUCUGAUUGAAAUGAAAAUUCAGUAAGAUAAUACAUAUGAAUGUGCUUUAUAAAAAGUUAAGUUAUUCCUAAAUGUGUUUCCAAUGGUCAGGUGUUGCUCAAUGACAAAAUUCUGCUUGGAGAAUGUCAUAGUUUGUCAGUAACAACAGCUAUCCUUAAAUACACCUUUUCAUAUCAAGCCACUGUGCUCAGGGCUUUACAUGUAUUCUCUCUACAUUCUCAACACGUAUUUCCUUUAAAUGCUUUUUCUAUUUCCUGUAUCAAUUCACCAUAAAAACUGCCACUGCAGAUCAUUCUUACCCUCAGUUUACAACUUGUGAGAACUGCUUCUUUUCUUCUCAAAUCGAUGUUAAGUUGUCGCUUUAACUCCUUGCAAAACUUUGCAAGAAUUUGUUGCUUUUGCUUCUUGGAAAAGGAAAUCUUAACAAGGCUAGAAUUGUGUCCUGUGUAUCAGCGUGUGCUCUGUGGAAGCAAAGGAGUCUCUCCCCUCCUUCAGUGUUUCUUUUGCCCUCUCUGCCUCUCCUCCACCGGGUUUGCGUGGGUGGUGGUCCUGGUUCCACCCUGCUGAAGGCAGAGGGAGGCACUGAACCUUGGCCACACCCGGCUUCUGGCUGCUCUCGCUGUGCGUCCUCUCCGCUCCCUGCUCUCUCCCCAGACUUGGGCCCCAGGUUACGUGGCCCAGAAGAGCUGGGCGACAUCUUCCUUCUUCUCCAUCGUGCUUGGGGGAAUUAAACACAGUAGAUGCACUCCAUUCUGGCCUUGCCUCAUUAGGAGGUUUCUAUGGAUUAAUUCCCGAGAGAUCGAAUCUCGUUACUUUACUGUGGCAAAGUGAAAUUAGUGCAAAGUAACAAGGAGCCAGAUUAAUGUGACCCCAGGAAAUAAUCCAUAAAAAACUUAUGAGGCCUUUAGCAGGCUGUAAAUUGGAUUUCAGACAGGGUCAGGGGAGGGGAAAGAAUCAUGUUAAAAACAAUCAGUUUGUAAUGAAUAGAGCUAAUAUUUUAGCACUUCCAAAUAGAAGAAAACACCAGAGUAAAUAACUCCGAAGACCCAAUGGCAAUAUUUUCUGACGUGUGUAAAUAAUUGAGAUUGUGAUUAUAAUCCUAACUGAAUUUUUCUUGCUUUAUGGUUGCUGGGAAGUGUAUUGUUCAUUAAGCAGCACAGAACUCUAAAUCAGAAGAACAAAGGAGAAGGGGAAGGCAGAAGAAAGAAAUGGAAAAGGAAAAUAUCUUGUCUGGGUGAUCAGUUGUCUGGCUUAGUCAUUAGGCAGGAGAAUAUGUGGUCUUGGUCCCUUUGCAACAAAGCAGUCAGGCUGUUGCAAAGACAUAUCCCUUCACAAGUCAUGGCAGUUGUGAGCAGAGCCUGGAGAGCAAACAAACAGCUCAUUAGGUUCAUACUGUGUGUUUCUGGGAGAAAGAAACUGACUCUGAAAGAGAGGGAAAUGGUUUGGAGACUGAUAGGGCACCGAUUUCUUUCUUUUCUCCAUCCUCCCUCCCUCCCUCCCUCCCUUCCUUCCUUCCUUCUGGCAGUAACAGGAAUGGGGAAGUGACAGGCACUGGUAGUUGUACCCAGAAACCCUGUGUCAUCAAGCUGUUCAGAAAAGAUGCCAUGGGUAUUUUACAGAAAGAAUAAAAAUAAUCCUAAAAUUCACUCGGAACCGCAAAAGACUCCAAACUGCCAAAGUACUCUUUCACAAGAAGAGCAAAGCUGGAGGCAUCACAAUUCCUGAUUUCAAACUAUAUUACAAAGCCAUUGCAAUCAAAGAAUCUGAAAAGAAAAAAAAAUGUAUGUAUACGUAUAACUGAAUCACUUUGCUGUAUACCUGAAACUAAUAUUGUAAAUCAACUACCUUCAAUAAAAAAAUUAAAAAAAAAAUAGUGUGGUUCUGGCUUAAAAACAGGUGUAUAGACCAAUGGGACAGAAUACAGAGCCCAGAAAUAAACCCAUUAGUAUACCAUCAACUAAUCUUCAACAAAGUUUCAAGUUUACGCGUUGAGAAAAGAACAAUCUCUUUAAUAAAUGAUGUUGAGAAAAUUGAAUGCCCACAUUGCAAAAGAAUGAAAUUAGAUCCUGACCUCACACCAUAAACAAAAGUCAACUCAAAAUGGAUUAAAGACUUGAACUUAAGACCUGAGAGAGUAAAACUCGUGGCAAAAGCUGCCUGACAUUGGUCUUGGCAAUGAUUUUUCAGCUAUGACACCAAAAGCACAGGCAACAAAAGCAAGAAUAAACAACUAGGAUUACAUUAAGCAAAAAAGUUUCUGUACAGCCAAGGAAACAAUCAACAAAAUGUACAGGCAGCCUAUGGAAUGGAAAAAAAAAUUUGUAAACUAUAUAUUUGAUAAUGGGUUAAUAUCUAAAAUAUAUGAGGAAUACAACUCAAUAGCCAAAAAACAAAUAAGCUGAUUAAAAAACAAGCAAAGGACCUGAGGGAACAUUUCUCCAAAGAAGACAUACAAAUGCAUGAAAAGGUACUCAACAUUACUAAUUAUCAGGGAAAUUAAAAUCAAAACCACAAUGAGGUAUCACCUCACCCCUGUUAGGAAGGCUGUUACUAAAAAGAUUAAAAAACACAGGUGUUGACAAGGAUGUGGGGUCCCUGUGCACUGUUGAUGGGAAGGCAGAUUGGUACAGUUAUUAUGGGAAGCAGCACGGUGGUUCCUCAAAAAAAUUAAAAGAAGAACUGCCAUGUGAUCCAGCAAUCCCACUUCUGGAUAUUUAUCCAAAGGAAUUGAACUUAGGAUCUCGAAGAGAUAACUGCACUCCCAUGUUCAUUGCAGCAUUAUUCACAGUAGCCAGCUUAUGGAAACAACCUAAUUGUCUGUUGAUAGAUGAAGAGAUAAAGAAAAUGUGGUAUAUACAUGUGAUGGAAUGUUGUUCAGCCUUUUAAAAAAGGAAAUCUCACCAUUUGUGACAACGUGGAUGGACCUGAGUAGCAUUGCUACGUGAAGUAAGCCAGACACACAAAAACAUACUACAUCAUCUCAUCUAUAUAUGGAAUCUACAAUAAUCAGACUCACAGAAAUGGGGAGUAGGAUGAUAGUUGCCAGGGUCUAGAGGGAGGAGGAAAUGGGAAAGUGAUGGUUAAAGAUACAGUUUCAGUUAUGUAAGGUAAAUAGAUACUGGAGAUCUACUGUAUAGCAUGAGAAUGUACAUUGUAUACUUAGCAUUUGCCAAGAGGGAAGAUCUCAUGUUAAGUGUUCUUACCACACAAAGGGAGAGGGGGGGGAACUUUUGGAGGUGAUGGAUGUGUUUGUAACCUUGAUGAUGGUGAUAGUUUCAUGGAUGUAUACUUACCCCUAAACUCAUUGAAUUGUAUACAUUAAAUAUGUACAGUUUUUUUAAUAUGUCAACCAUACCUAA